AAAGAGAAACGAAAUGACUCGUUUUGUUGUCGUCGUUCCACACAUUUUGUUGCAGCAGUGUGUAAAAAAAAAAAAAAAAAGAAAAGAAAAAAGUAUUCAUAUCUUGUGAACCUUUGAACGUUUUGUCACAUUGCAGCCACAAAACCUCAAGGUUCUCUGACAGACCAGCUCAGCCUGGCUGGCAAAUGUGGAGGAGAAGGAGAAAUGUUAGCUCCUAUUUACGCUGACACGCCGAAAAUGAAAUCCAGCCCAAUCUGUUGCUUCCAGAUAUCAGAUAUCUGAUUGAACCUCUGAGAGAUGGAAGAGAGUUAGAAAUGAUGGGAAAGGGAAAACAAUCCUGGAAGUCCUGAAAGUUUAUUUAUGUGUCGGAAUGGCCUUGUCAAAGUCCAAACCUUAAUCUAAUACAAAUCUAUGGCGAAACCAGAGUUAUUUUUGCAGAGACGAAUGGUAGUAAGCCUCAGUCUGGUCUAGAUAUCCCUCCCUCGUAGCUGUUUUUGCAACAAAAUAUAUUUUUCCAAAGUGUUGAGCUGAAGACAAAUGUCUAUAAAUGUUUUGUUUCUAAUCCUUUUGCAGGAUUAGAAACAAACCACCUCAGUGGGGUGGCAGAACCAAUACCUUUGCUAUUCACUGCAUUAACAGGGUCACAAAAAGAGUAGAUCCAGUUGAGCGUCUCCACGGUCCGGUACUGGAUGCUGUAUUUGGUGAUCCACUCGUCUGCGUCGCAGCGGCCCUGGCUGAGGAUCCCUGACACCACCCCGACCUCCUUCAGGUCGAUCUGGAUCCACUGGUGCUGGUCGUUGAACUUGGACAGCCAGGCACACCUAUAGCAAAAAAAAAA